rnacentral:misc_RNA from 1 species
UGCUUAAGGAUAAUCUUGUGGCCAAAGGGCUAGUUCUUUCAUUUAUAACAGACUUCUUUAAGGAGUACCUGGUUGAUAAUAGCCUUGAUGAUUUGAUUUCAAUCCUCAAGCGGGGUAAAGUGGAGGAUAAUCUUCUGGACUUCUUUCCAUCUGCAAAGCGCUCAGCUGAAUGUUUCUCUGAGCAUUUCACGUGUGUUUUUAUCCCUUCCCUUUGAAUCUAAUUUGCUACUUGCUAUUUUUCUUGCAUAUUUUCUUUAUUUAUUUUGUUUUGCUUUGAAAAGCAUUUUGCUUUAUCUGAAAUGCCAUUUGACGAUUUUUUUAAUGCUUCCGUACAAUUUGUGUGAACAUUUGUUGCAUUAUGGAUGUACCUGUAUAAAAUUUGACAUUUUUUUAGUACUUUUGCGUUGCUCGAGUUCAUGAUGAUCUGGCCAUUCAUAAAUUUCAUGCUGAGCUCUGCUUGGUUUAUGAGUUACACUUUCCAUUAUGUUUCAUGAUACUAUAUUAUGUUGUUGAUACAUAAUCUGGAACUUAUUGAUGUCUUUUCAUACUUGAUUUUCAGCAAGGAAGGGCUUGUACCUUUGGUUGAAUACAAUGAAAAGAAAACAUUUGAGGUAAAACUGAAGGAAAUGAAAUCUGCAUUAACAACGCUGAUAGCAGAGGAGGCUGAUAUAACUGAUGUUAUAGAGACUGUCAAGCAACGGGUUAAAGAUGCUAAACUCCCAGACACUGAGGUUGUGCGUGUCUUAUGGGAUGUUUUAAUGGAUGCUGUUCAGUGGUCUGGUAAGAACCAGCAGCAGAAUGCAAAUGCAGCUUUGCGCCAGGUGAAAACAUGGGCAAAACUGUUAAAUACCUUCUGUACCAAUGGAAAACUUGAGCUGGAACUCAUGUACAAGGUUCAGAUGCAGUGCUAUGAGGAUGCUAAGCUGAUGAAGUUGUUUCCUGAGAUAGUGAGGUCUCUCUAUGAUCAGGAUGUUCUGGCAGAAGGCACCAUACUUCACUGGUUCCGCAAAGGAACAAACCCAAAGGGCAGGUAUGCAAGUAUAUUUGAUCACACUGUAUCAUGGGGUCUCCCAUAGUCCCCAUUUACUUUGUGCUUGUCUUUAUUUACUGUAAUUUUACUCGACCAGACUUGCAGGACAUUAGGCUGCAAUUGUUUUUAUGGUAUUAAAAAAGCAAUAUGCUGGUAUUUACUGAGAAGUAUGGGAUAUUAUAUUCACUGUUUGGAUAUCUUGUUGUGGUUAUAGGCAAACCUUUGUGAAGGCCCUAGAGCCCUUUGUUAAUUGGCUGGAGGAGGCAGAGGAAGAGGAAUAAUUGCAGCUGGUCAUAUGACAUCCGACCAUGUUCCAUGCUACGUUUGCUAUUUAUUCCCGAGACAUUAGCUAUUAACUCAUAAAAGUUCCAACUUUCAUAAUAUUUGGUGUGCUGUCUUUUGAUGAUGACAAGAUAAAGCCAUGUGUGGUUUAAUUACAUUCAAUAAUCAGUAUUGCUCUUUGAUGUCUCUGGUGUUAUUGUUUCACGUAUUGCAAUGGUGUUUCCAUGUUUGUGUUGGUACUUUUGAUUAAAUUAAUUGCCAAACCAGUGUGUUUGUUAUUGCUGCACUGCCUUGAGGAUA